rnacentral:rRNA from 1 species
GGGAAUAUUGCACAAUGGGCGCAAGCCUGAUGCAGCGACGCCGCGUGAGGGACGACGGCCUUCGGGUUGUAAACCUCUUUCAGUAGGGACGAAGCGCAAGUGACGGUACUUACAGAAGAAGGACCGGCCAACUACGUGCCAGCAGCCGCGGUAAUACGUAGGGUCCGAGCGUUGUCCGGAAUUACUGGGCGUAAAGAGCUCGUAGGUGGUUUGUCGCGUUGUUCGUGAAAACUCACAGCUUAACUGUGGGCGUGCGGGCGAUACGGGCAGACUGGAGUACUGCAGGGGAGACUGGAAUUCCUGGUGUAGCGGUGGAAUGCGCAGAUAUCAGGAGGAACACCAGUGGCGAAGGCGGGUCUCUGGGCAGUAACUGACGCUGAGGAGCGAAAGCGUGGGGAGCGAAC